UGUCGCAGUAAAUGUUCGGUAGUUUGUUGCAUCUGAUUCUAAACACCUGUGUAAUGUUUGAAUACUGAUUUCGGAACUCUUGUUGUCGUUUCGUACUUUUGCUUAGUUUGCGCGCAAGUGCAUUCCCUUCUAGCUGCUGGCAUCUGUUCAGGCACGGUUUUGAAGACCCUGCAAUUUGCCACCAAUCAAGCGACGUUUCCUUCUCGGGCACAUGUUCUUCAUUGCGGUCGACAAUAGCUCGUGCUACGAACCAGUGAUGAGUUCUGAAAUUUGUGUUUACGAGGCGUGCUUCUACGUGCGUAGCUACCGAGAACUUUAGAGUGUGCAGGCGCACUUCGCUUCAAGCCUUGCGUCCGAAAAAUCAAGGGAUCGUGCAGUGAAGUGCUGCUUCUGUCGUGUGUGUGUAUGUGUUGUAGAGAUCACGGCACCAGUGCGCUUGUGUGACAGAUUGGAUGCCACGCAUGUGGCCUUCUCGAUGUGCUUGUGGCUGUCACUGUUCAAAGGAGUGCCCAGAAUAUUGUUGCAUAUUGUACUGAAGAUUGGCCAACCGUCUUUACUUGAAGGGCGACAUUCUUUGUACUUUAUGUUUGCUUAGCUUUUCUCACUGCUACUCUUGUUCAUUUAAAUUGGCUUGUAUAUGCCAUUUCAUAUGUAAAUGAAGCAGUGAGGAGUGGGCACAUAGCACAUCUUAAUGGGGCAAACAUAGAUUGUGCUUGGUCUUGUAUUUACAUAUGUCGAUUAAUAUUUGGCUGGUAUGCUCACAACUACUUGUGCUAUCUGGUGACUUGUAAUUAGUUCUUUAAUAUCUUCAGAAAGCUUUCUGGGCCCUUCCAAUGGCUAGGAAAGCAAUUUAUUUGCACAAUUACUGUUGCAAGCACUGGGGUUGGCCUAGGAACAUAUACAAUAAGUUUUUUUUGUGUGUGUGGUGAAUCUUGCCAUGGUUUAGCAUUGUCAAGUUUCAUAAACUAAGGAUGGGCCGUCUGUUGGACAGCGAAGUAAAAGUAGUCAAAUAGAGCAUCUGUUGUUUCUUCACAGCUGUGACACAUUGAUAUAUAUUGUAUGUGAACAUUUUCUAUUAUUUCUUGCUUAACAUCAAUCUCCUAAGUACAGCAUUUUAUUUGUUUCUCCUUUUUUUCAGGCUUGUGAGGUGGUCUGCAUUGCAGCGCUAUAGGCAGAUUUUUUGCACUGUGCAAAAUGGUCAUCUCGCCUACGUAGAUCGGAAUGCACCUUAUUUAAUGGACAAUGUGGCAUUUAUUUCGGCUUGAUUGCAUAUUAAUAUAAUUGCCUGCUUUGUUGUAUCAGUGACAUUUCUUUGCUCGAGAUGACGAUUUCGUGCAUUGUAUCACGUGUGUACAAGAGUUGA